GUUGGCAGCACCUGAUGGAAGCAAAGCAAAGGCUUUAACCGUGUUGUCAUCAUGAUACAAGAGGUAUGAAUCCUGAGUUGCCUUACGAAGCUCUCAAAGUCAGCCUGGAACUGCUUUCUGCUUUUGCCCCUUUCAUUGGCAAUAAGGCUGCUGCUUGGGGUGCCUAAUUAUUCUGUUGACCGUCCUUGUGUCAUCUAGAUGCUAACUUUCAUGUUCAAACUGGAUUUGUGUUCAAAUAAUAAAUGUAUUAAGGACAAGUAUCAUAUUUUAUGUAUCCUAAAUAAACAAGUUUAGAACUAUUUGCUAUGCAACUCUAUCUCUCUCUCCCCCUCCCUUUCUUUAAUAAAACUGAUGUCUGCAAGCUUGAUUUUGAAACUUUUUCGCCCGCCAUUUUGACACACAUUCGAUAAUUGGUUUAACCGCUUCGUCUGUAAAUCUGAAAAUUCAUUUCGACUGACAUUCUAGGUAUGGAAUGCAUGGUAUGCUAUGCAGAUGUCAUACCCCGAUUUUGACCCUGAAAAAAAAACUUUUCCCAAUCACUCACUCUUCAAAUCCUUCCGUGCGGCUGAAUCGCCAUCGCCACAACGAUUAGGGUUCUCUCACCUUCCGGGAUCAAAGGAAUCUCGUCGUCGUAUGAUCAGUCACGAGAAAAGUUUAUUUCUUUGAAGAAGAAUAUUCCUGAAGAUAUUAUUGCUGAUUUAGAACAGGGUCUACAAGAUUCAAAGUCAUCAUUUGAGAAAAGCCGUUCCAAUCUAGUACACUCUCUCAUGAAUAUUGAAGUAAAAAAGAAGUACGAGUUCUUGGAGUCAAUAAGUGCAAUAUUGGAUGCUCUCUGCCCGCUGAAGUCAGAAGAAUUAUUAAUUGGAACACCACAAAUCGCAGCCACCAACGUUAACCGGAGAAGCGAACAUGGUGGGUUUCAACUCUCAAUCGUCUUACGGUAUGCAAUCCAUGCUCAAAGAAGGUCACAAGCAUCUCUCCGGUCUCGACGAAGCCAUUCUCAGAAACAUUGAUGCCUGUAACCAACUCUCCAUCAUCACUCACACUUCCCUCGGCCCCAACGGGAUGGAUGAGAUGGUUGUAAAUCAUUUGGAUAGAUUUUUUGUGGCGAAUGAUGCUGCUACGAUUGUGAAUGAACUUAAAGUUUAGCAUCUUGCUGCUAAGAUUUUGGUGUUGGCUAGUAAGGCUUAGCAAGAGACAUAGGCAGUCAUCUCAUGAACAUUUAGUAGCCGACGAACGCGUUCAGGUUAUUGGUCAAUGUUCAGAUUAUAAACCACCACCCAAUUCAUCUGGUUGUGCUCGAAGUGAGCCAUAUGAUUACUCUGGUUGGAGAGGCCGAAAAGAACCUGAAGUACUUGCAGCUUCUCCGCUGAAACAUUUGUUUGUGGAGAAUCAACCAUAUUUAGUUUGUGGAUACUGCCAACAUGGAUUGUUGAACGACGUGGUUGAUUCUGCAGACAACAUACUUAGUGUUCCUGAGAAAUAUAAGUACACGAAGGAAACCUGCCGGAAACAGUUGGCAUUUGGGAAAUCAAGAGUUGGCAUUUGGGAAAUCAAGAAUUCAUGGAUUUGGCAUCUUUGCAAAGCAUCCAUAUAAAGGUGGAGACAUGGUGAUUGAAUAUACCGGUGAACUUGUUAGACCUUCUAUUGCUAAUCGAAGAGAGCGUUUUAUAUACAAUUCUUUAGUGGGUGCUGGAACAUAUUUGUUUCGAGUUGAUGAUGCAAGAGACAUUGAUGACACCAGAGCAGGAAGCAUCGCUCAUUUAUUUAAUCAUUCAUGUGCACCAAAUUGCUUUUCAAGAGUCAUUAGUGUUAACGGUGACUAGCAUAUUAUAAUAUUUGCAAAGAGAGACAUUAUAUUAGUCAGGUCUAUACAUGGUUAUGCGUUGAAGCAUAUGCACAUAUCACAUGUGGAGAUUGCAAAUCAAAUUAUUCAUACACAUGCAAAAUACGGGUAUGUAGUGGAUGCAAGGGUAGUCUUCAAUAGGAUGAGAACAAUGGACUUGGUUUCAUGGACUUCGAUGAUGACAGGUUAUAUUUAUCACUGCCACAUUGACGAAGCCAUAAAUUUGUUUUGUCUGCUGCAAAAAAAAAAGAAUCUAAAUAUUGACUCUGUUACUCUAAUUGGUCUCAUUCAAACAUUAUCCCAGCUUGGAUGUCUAAGAUUUGUUAAGGAAGUUCACUGUUACAGUUAUCAAUUUUUCCAUGGUAAUAAGCUCCCUAUAAAUAAUUAUCUUAUUACUAUGUAUGCUAAGUCUGGAAAACUGCCUAUGGCUAGAAGCAUAUUUGAGCAAAUGACAGAACUGUGUCUCACAUCAUGGUAUGCAACAAUAGCCACCUACAACGGCUAUUCGAAAUAAAGUUUCGUCCACCGGUACUGUGUCUGAUGCAAAAUUUGCUAACAAUCUUCUCACUCUAAGAUCACGGGAAGAAAGAUGGAUUCUCAUAAGACUGCAACCGUAAAAAAUAACAAUGAAGUACUGGCUAAUGGUCAUGUGCCGUGGGCUUGUGAGGCAUUUUCGAAGCAUCGUGCAGAAGAGUUGAUCACAUUCCGAACUUUACAUUGGUGUUGGACAUUAUUCAUGAUCAAACUUUGGAAUCAUGGAGAAGAAUUACGGACGUGUUACUUGUUUACGUCAAGUUAUAAUCAGCGCUCCAAAAAAACAAGGGAUCGGAUACCGUCACAAAUGGAAGACAAAUUGACUCAACCGGACAAUACAAUAGUCAAUCUUCUGGAAUUUCAUUUUACCGGUACAGCACAUCAAAUCGUUCUAAAGCAUGAAUUUCUAUCAAGAGCAUGAACAUCUUACAUACCAUGAAGUACUAGAGCAUAAGUUGUCGGUUUCGACCAAGUCUAGGUCGUGAAGCGUGAUACUUGCUGCAAGGAAGCUGCAGCAUGCUUGCAAUCCUGCAAUAACGUAUGGAAAAAUCAGCCUUCACAUUUUUGGUACUACAAUAAACUUAAUAGUGGGAUAAUAAACCAGGACAUCAAAGAGUAAAAAUAUAGGAUCUUGGAUUUUGCCCAUAGUGCAAGACAGCCCAACUGAGUCACUUUACAAGAACUUUUCAUUUUCAACCGCAACGCCAUGGCAGCAGCACCCGUUAGAGCACAUGCCGAUUACGAUUACCUCAUCAAGUUUCUUCUUAUCGGCGGUAGUGGUGUGGGGAAGAGUUGUUUUGCUUUUGAGAUUUUCUGAUGGUUCCUUCACAACCAGUUUUAUCACCACCAUUGGUAUUGAUUUCAAGAUAAUAACCAUUGAACUUGAUGGCAAACGCAUUAAGUUGCAAAUCUGGGAUACAGUUGGCCAGGAGAGAUUCAGAACUAUUACUAGAGCUUAUUACCGUGGAGCCAUGGGUAUCUUGUUGGUUUGUGAUGCUACUGAUAAAGCAUCUUUCAAUAAUAUUAGGAAUCGGAUUCGCAAUAUUGAACAACAUGCUUCUGACAAUGUAAACAAGAUACUUGUGGGAAACAAGGUUGAUAUGGAUGAAAGUAAAAGGGAUGUACCUACCUCCAAAGGUCAAGCUCUUGCUGAUGAGUAUGGUAUCAAGUUCUUUAAAACUAGUACAAAAACAAACAUGAACGGAGAGCUAUGGUAUCCAUCCGAGAAUGCUGGAAAACUCCCUGCAAUAAAACAUAUCCAAAAAAAGGCCAUUCAGUUUUGAUUAAAGAAGGGAUACAAAGGUUUGAUAUCAUGAUUAGCAAGUAUGAAUUGUUACCAAACUCAGAGCAUUACGCGAUAACGGUUGAUCUUCUUGGUCGAAUGGGAGAGUUAAAUACGGCAUUGGACGUAAUUAACAACAUGCCAAUGCAAGCUGGGCCUGAUAUAUGGGGAGUUGCCACAUAGAAUUUCCCUUGACUUGGGUGCCUAAUUAUUCUGUUGACCGUCCUUGUGUCAUCUAGAUGCUAACUUCAUGUUCAAACUGGAUUUGUGUUCAAAUAAUAAAUGUAUGUAAGGACAAGUAUCAUAUUUUAUGUAUCCUAAAUAAAACAAGUUAGAACUAUGGUUGCAACUUUGUAUGUUUCAAUAAAAUCAUUCAUGUAUGUCUCAAUUGCAUCAUGAAAAAUAAUUGUAUGUUUUAUAUUCUACAUUAUAUUAUUUAUAGUCUUUUUACAUUUGUUUUCCACCUCUUUUUCCAACAACCUUGAAAAAGACUAAUUUGGUAUUGAUUAUCACAUCGUUCAUGUAUGUUUCAAUAGUGAUUUGAACUCCACGGAUUCAAAUUAUGUGAUAUUUAAAGAUAAAAAAAAUAUGGGAGUUUUUAACCCAAGAUAUUGAAGGAAGGAUUUAGAGAACCGCAAGAAAGUGCAAACUGACAUGUGGA
rnacentral:lncRNA from 1 species